rnacentral:rRNA from 1 species
AUUGAACGCUGGCGGAAUGCUUUACACAUGCAAGUCGAACGGCAGCACGGGGGCAACCCUGGUGGCGAGUGGCGAACGGGUGAGUAACACGUGAGUAACCUGCCCUUGACUCGUGGGAUAAGCACUGGAAACGUGUCUAAUACCGGAUACGACCUCUGGAAGCAUCUUCUAGAGGUGAAGAAUUUCGGUCAAGGAUGGACUCGCGGCCUAUCAGCUAGUUGGUGAGGAAUGGCCCACCAA